rnacentral:rRNA from 1 species
GAUGAACGCUGGCGGGGUGCCUAAUACAUGCAAGUCGAGCGAACAGACGAGGAGCUUGCUCCUCUGACGUUAGCGGCGGACGGGUGAGUAACACGUGGAUAACCUACCUAUAAGACUGGGAUAACUUCGGGAAACCGGAGCUAAUACCGGAUAAUAUAUUGAACCGCAUGGUUCAAUAGUGAAAGACGGUUUUGCUGUCACUGAUAGAUGGAUCCGCGCCGCAUUAGCUAGUUGGUAAGGUAGCGGCUUACCAAGGCAACGAUGCGUAGCCGACCUGAGAGGGUGAUCGGCCACACUGGAACUGAGACACGGUCCAGACUCCUACGGGAGGCAGCAGUAGGGAAUCUUCCGCAAUGGGCGAAAGCCUGACGGAGCAACGCCGCGUGAGUGAUGAAGGUCUUCGGAUCGUAAAACUCUGUUAUUAGGGAAGAACAAAUGUGUAAGUAACUAUGCACGUCUUGACGGUACCUAAUCAGAAAGCCACGGCUAACUACGUG